rnacentral:rRNA from 1 species
GCUGUUAAGGGUUCGUAGUUGAACUGAGGGCUGCCGAGGAACUUGCGUCUGCGUCCAACCCGCUUGAAUGGCGUUGCGACCGGUCGCUCUUGGGGCUCGUGAACAAACGGCUACAAUGCCGCGAACAAAGACCACGGAAUCGACGCACCGCUGUGUGCUUUUCUCUUCCAAAACAAUCGCAUGCAACGCAUGCCAUGGGGGGGACGUCCGUGAUUUUUUACUGUGACUAAAAAAGCGUGCCAAAGCAGUCAUUCGACUUGAAUUUCAAAGCAUGGGAUAACAAAGAAGCAACCUACGGUCUACCGUUUCGGCUUUUGUUGGUUUUAAAGGUCUGUGGGAGAUUAUGGGUUUGUAUUGCAAGCGGGUAGAGGGUCAGUCGAGAGCUCAAACUCUCCCUGAUACCUCACGCCUUCGGUUAGUGACAGCCUUCUCUACAAGAGAGUGGCGGCUUUCUCGACUUGCAGAUCCAGGAUGAAGGAGGGUUGUUCGGGGGAGAACGUACUUGAGCGUGAGAGGUGAAAUUCUUAGACCGCUCAAGACGGACUACAGCGAAGGCAUUCUUCAAGGAUACCUUCAUCAAUCAAGAACCAAGUG